rnacentral:rRNA from 1 species
GACGAACGCUGGCGGCGUGCUUAACACAUGCAAGUCGAACGGAAAGGCCCUGCUUUUGUGGGGUGCUCGAGUGGCGAACGGGUGAGUAAAACGUGUGUAACCUGCCCUUGUCUUUGGGGUAACUUCAGGAAACUGGGGCUAAUACCGGAUAGGAGCUCCUGCUGCAUGGUGGGGGUUGGAAAGUUUCGGCGGUUGGGGAUGGACUCGCGGCUUAUCAGCUUGUUGGUGGGGUAGUGGCUUACCAAGGCUUUGACGGGUAGCCGGCCUGAGAGGGUGACCAGCCACAUUGGGACUGAGAGACGGCCCAGACUCCUACGGGAGGCAGCAGUGGAGAAUAUUGCACAAUGGGCGGAAGCCUGAUGCAGCAACGCCGCGUGCGGGAUGACGGCCUUCGGGUUGUAAACCGCUUUCGCCUGUGACGAAGCGUGAGUGACGGUAAUGGGUAAAGAAGCAACGGCUAACUACGUG